rnacentral:rRNA from 1 species
CCAGAAAGCCACGGCUAACUACGUGCCAGCAGCCGCGGUAAUACGUAGGUGGCGAGCGUUAUCCGGAAUUAUUGGGCGUAAAGGGUGCGCAGGCGGCCGAUUAAGUUUGCGGUGAAAGCGUGGGGCUCAACCCCAUACAGCCACAGAUACUGGUCGGCUAGAGUACUGGAGAGGAAAGUGGAAUUCCAUGUGUAGCGGUAAAAUGCGUAGAUAUAUGGAGGAACACCGGUGGCGAAGGCGGCUUUCUAGCCAGAGACUGACGCUCAUGCACGAAAGCGUGGGGAGCAAAUAGGAUUAGAUACCCUAGUAGUCCACGCUGUAAACGAUGAAUGCUAAGUGUUGGGGAAACUCAGUGCUGCAGCUAACGCAAUAAGCAUUCCGCCUGUGGAGUAUGCACGCAAGUGUGAAACAUAAAGGAAUUGACGGGGGCCCGCACAAGCGGUGGAGUAUGUGGUUUAAUUCGAAGCAACGCGAAGAACCUUACCAGGCCUUGACAUCCCCUGCAAAAGUGUAGAGAUACACGGGAGGUUAUCAGGGAGACAGGUGGUGCAUGGUUGUCGUCAGCUCGUGUCGUGAGAUGUUGGGUUAAGUCCCGCAACGAGCGCAACCCUUGUCGGUAGUUACCAAUAUUAAGUUAGGGACUCUACCGAGACUGCCGGUGACAAACCGGAGGAAGGUGGGGAUGACGUCAAAUCAUCAUGCCCCUUAUGGCCUGGGCUACACACGUACUACAAUGGCCGGUACAACGAGCAGCAACACAGUGAUGUGAAGCAAAUCUCUGAAAGCCGGUCCCAGUUCGGAUUGGAGUCUGCAACUCGACUCCAUGAAGUCGGAAUCGCUAGUAAUCGCGGAUCAGCAUGCCGCGGUGAAUACGUUCUCGGGCCUUGUACACACCGCCCGU